rnacentral:rRNA from 1 species
UACGGGGGGGGCAAGCGUUGUUCGGAAUUACUGGGCGUAAAGGGUCUGUAGGUGGCCAACUAAGUCAGACGUGAAAUCCCUCAGCUUAACUGGGGAACUGCGUCUGAUACUGGAUGGCUAGAGGUUGGGAGAGGGAUGCGGAAUUCCAGGUGUAGCGGUGAAAUGCGUAGAUAUCUGGAGGAACACCGGUGGCGAAGGCGGCAUCCUGGACCAAUUCUGACGCUGAGGAGCGAAAGCCAGGGGAGCAAACGGG